rnacentral:rRNA from 1 species
GACGAACGCUGGCGGCGUGCUUAACACAUGCAAGUCGAACGGAAAGGCCCUGCUUGCAGGGUACUCGAGUGGCGAACGGGUGAGUAACACGUGGGUGAUCUGCCCUGCACUUCGGGAUAAGCCUGGGAAACUGGGUCUAAUACCGGAUAGGAGCCAUUUUUAGUGUGAUGGUUGGAAAGUUUUUUCGGUGUAGGAUGAGCUCGCGGCCUAUCAGCUUGUUGGUGGGGUAAUGGCCUACCAAGGCGGCGACGGGUAGCCGGCCUGAGAGGGUGGACGGCCACAUUGGGACUGCGCUACGGCCCAGACUCCUACGGGAGGCAGCAGUGGGGAAUAUUGCACAAUGGGCGCAAGCCUGAUGCAGCGACGCCGCGUGGGGGAUGACGGCCUUCGGGUUGUAAACUCCUUUCGCUAGGGACGAAGCUUUUUGUGACGGUACCUAGAUAAGAAGCACCGGCUAACUACGU